rnacentral:tRNA from 1 species
GAGGGUAUAGCUUAGUGGUAGAGGAGGUGCUUAGCAUGCACGAGGUUUGGGGUUCAACCCCCAGUACCUCCA